AGCAGCCGCGGUAAUUCCAGCUCCAAUAGCGUAUAUUAAAGUUGUUGCAGUUAAAAAGCUCGUAGUUGAACUUCGGGGUUCACCCAUUGGUCAGGCUUAAUUGUCUGUACUGGUGAGAUGAGUCUCUACCUUCUGAGGAACCUUCAUGCCAUUUAUUUGGUGUGAUCGGAAAUCAGGACUGUUACUUUGAAAAAUUAGAGUGUUUAAAGCAGGCUAACGUCUGAAUACAUUAGCAUGGAAUAAUGAAAUAGGACGGAUUGAUUCUAUUUCGUUGGUCUCUAGGAUCACCGUAAUGAUUAAUAGGGAUAGUUGGGGGCAUUAGUAUUCAAUUGUCAGAGGUGAAAUUCUUGGAUUUAUUGAAGACUAACUACUGCGAAAGCAUUUGCCAAGGAUGUUUUCAUUAAUCAAGAACGAAAGUUAGGGGAUCGAAGACGAUCAGAUACCGUCGUAGUCUUAACCAUAAACUAUGCCGACUAGGGAUCGGACGCAGUUAAUUUAUAAUGACGUGUUCGGUACC
rnacentral:rRNA from 1 species